GAUGAACGCUGGCGGCGUGCCUAAUACAUGCAAGUCGAGCGAACAGACGAGGAGCUUGCUCCUCUGACGUUAGCGGCGGACGGGUGAGUAACACGUGGAUAACCUACCUAUAAGACUGGGAUAACUUCGGGAAACCGGAGCUAAUACCGGAUAAUAUAUUGGACCGCAUGGUUCAAUAGUGAAAGACGGUUUUGCUGUCACUUAUAGAUGGAUCCGCGCCGCAUUAGCUAGUUGGUAAGGUAACGGCUUACCAAGGCAACGAUGCGUAGCCGACCUGAGAGGGUGAUCGGCCACACUGGAACUGAGACACGGUCCAGACUCCUACGGGAGGCAGCAGUAGGGAAUCUUCCGCAAUGGGCGAAAGCCUGACGGAGCAACGCCGCGUGAGUGAUGAAGGUCUUCGGAUCGUAAAACUCUGUUAUUAGGGAAGAACAAAUGUGUAAGUAACUAUGCACGUCUUGACGGUACCUAAUCAGAAAGCCACGGCUAACUACGUG
rnacentral:rRNA from 1 species